AGAGUUUGAUCAUGGCUCAGAUUGAACGCUGGCGGCAGGCCUAACACAUGCAAGUCGAACGGUAACAGGAAGCAGCUUGCUGCUUUGCUGACGAGUGGCGGACGGGUGAGUAAUGUCUGGGAAACUGCCUGAUGGAGGGGGAUAACUACUGGAAACGGUGGCUAAUACCGCAUAACGUCGCAAGACCAAAGAGGGGGACCUUCGGGCCUCUUGCCAUCAGAUGUGCCCAGAUGGGAUUAGCUGGUAGGUGGGGUAACGGCUCACCUAGGCGACGAUCCCUAGCUGGUCUGAGAGGAUGACCAGCCACACUGGAACUGAGACACGGUCCAGACUCCUACGGGAGGCAGCAGUGGGGAAUAUUGCACAAUGGGCGCAAGCCUGAUGCAGCCAUGCCGCGUGUAUGAAGAAGGCCUUCGGGUUGUAAAGUACUUUCAGCGGGGAGGAAGGUGUUGUGGUUAAUAACCGCAGCAAUUGACGUUACCCGCAGAAGAAGCACCGGCUAACUCCGUGCCAGCAGCCGCGGUAAUACGGAGGGUGCAAGCGUUAAUCGGAAUUACUGGGCGUAAAGCGCACGCAGGCGGUCUGUCAAGUCGGAUGUGAAAUCCCCGGGCUCAACCUGGGAACUGCAUUCGAAACUGGCAGGCUUGAGUCUUGUAGAGGGGGGUAGAAUUCCAGGUGUAGCGGUGAAAUGCGUAGAGAUCUGGAGGAAUACCGGUGGCGAAGGCGGCCCCCUGGACAAAGACUGACGCUCAGGUGCGAAAGCGUGGGAGCAAACAGGAUUAGAUACCCUGGUAGUCCACGCCGUAAACGAUGUCUACUUGGAGGCUGUGCCCUUGAGGCGUGGCUUCCGGAGCUAACGCGUUAAGUAGACCGCCUGGGGAGUACGGCCGCAAGGUUAAAACUCAAAUGAAUUGACGGGGGCCCGCACAAGCGGUGGAGCAUGUGGUUUAAUUCGAUGCAACGCGAAGAACCUUACCUGGUCUUGACAUCCACGGAAGGUCUCAGAGAUGAGACUGUGGCCUUCGGGAGCCGUGAGACAGGUGCUGCAUGGCUGUCGUCAGCUCGUGUUGUGAAAUGUUGGGUUAAGUCCCGCAACGAGCGCAACCCUUAUCCUUUGUUGCCAGCGUCCGGCCGGGAACUCAAAGGAGACUGCCAGUGAUAAACUGGAGGAAGGUGGGGAUGACGUCAAGUCAUCAUGGCCCUUACGACCAGGGCUACACACGUGCUACAAUGGCGCAUACAAAGAGAAGCGACCUCGCGAGAGCAAGCGGACCUCAUAAAGUGCGUCGUAGUCCGGAUUGGAGUCUGCAACUCGACUCCAUGAAGUCGGAAUCGCUAGUAAUCGUGGAUCAGAAUGCCACGGUGAAUACGUUCCCGGGCCUUGUACACACCGCCCGUCACACCAUGGGAGUGGGUUGCAAAAGAAGUAGGUAGCUUAACCUUCGGGAGGGCGCUUACCACUUUGUGAUUCAUGACUGGGGUGAAGUCGUAACAAGGUAACCGUAGGGGAACCUGCGGUUGGAUCACCU
rnacentral:rRNA from 1 species